CGCGGGGUGGAGCAGUUUGGUAGCUCGUCGGGCUCAUAACCCGAAGGUCGUUGGUUCAAAUCCAACCCCCGCCACUA
rnacentral:tRNA from 2 species